rnacentral:rRNA from 1 species
GGGCCCGCACAAGCGGUGGAGCAUGUGGUUUAAUUCGACGCAACGCGAAGAACCUUACCUGGGCUCGAACGGCUGGUCAACGACGGUGGAAACAUCGUUACUCCGCAAGGGGGUCCAGUCGAGGUGCUGCAUGGCUGUCGUCAGCUCGUGUCGUGAGAUGUUGGGUUAAGUCCCGCAACGAGCGCAACCCUUGUCCUGUGUUGCCACUCCGUAAGGAAGCACUCUCAGGAGACCGCCAGCGAUAAGUUGGAGGAAGGUGGGGACGACGUCAAGUCAUCAUGGCCUUUAUGUCCAGGGCUACACACGUGCUACAAUGGCCGGUACAAAACGACGCAAACCCGCGAGGGGGAGCAAAUCGGCAAAAACCGGUCUCAGUUCGGAUCGCAGGCUGCAAUUCGCCUGCGUGAAGCUGGAAUCGCUAGUAAUGGCGCAUCAGCAUGGCGCCGUGAAUACGUUCCCGGGCCUUGUACACACCGCCCGUCACAUCACGAAAGUGGGUUG